CCAUGUACCAAGUCCUAUCUACUUAAGAUAGGCUUUAGUCUUCAGCUAGCUAAGUGACUUACCAGUGGAUUAUCCAUAUCUAAUGUAGAGUUUAUUCUCUAUAUCUCUAUGUAUUUCUACUUGAGGUAGUCGCAUAUUUUGUUGCUCUAUGUGCUUGGAUAUCUGGUGAGACCUAGGCUCCAUAGUAAGGGUUAUGGUACUAUU
rnacentral:lncRNA from 1 species